rnacentral:rRNA from 1 species
UUAGAGGGAAACGGGUGGAACCGCAAUGCGUCGACCCGGGGGAUUCAGCCAGACCGUGCACACGCGGCGAGGGCGGAGAGUGGCGGAGCUUUCGGGCCCGCGCCUCCGCCUAGUCGUCGGGCGGCCUGGUGCACUUUCCCCGGGCCGAUGGCCACGGCCGGCUCUCCGUUGGCGGCCAAAAGCCUAAGACCGGGAAGGUAGCCGCCGGCCUUGUGCCGACGGUGAUUACAGACCGGCUAGCCGUCGUGCUCGUCGGAGGGCCGAGGAAAGAUUGCCGCUCGCCGCCCACCCUACGGCCGUCCUUGCUCGUCUACAAUGGGUCGCACUGCUGGUCAGAGCGCACGCCGCCAGCGAGUCUAGAGGGGCCGGAAAGGUGAGGCGAGCUUCGGGCCCGUGGCGAAUCGGUCGGCCUUCCACCCGACCCGUCUUGAA